CUGUGCCCCUCACAGCAUGCCUCUGGGCCCAGCCAGGCAGUUAUUAAACCCAUUUCACCAGCUGGGGACAUGAGAAGCAGAUAGGUGAUGUGCCUCACUUGAGGUCACAGGGCCAGGAAGGUGUGACCACGAGGUGAGGCCAGCAGUCAGGCGUGGGAAAGGAAAACCAGUGGCCAGACUCCAAAGAGGACACACGACAGCACCAGCAUCAGAGCUCCCGCUGAUCUAGCACUUCCUGGAUGCCUGCUCUCUCGCCCAGCUCCCCCUGAGCCUUUGGAAAACACCUAGAAGGUCCACGGACCCAUUUCAUUAUACGCAGGUUGACUAAAUGAAUGCAGUAAUCAAGUGACCAUCUAUCUACCAGUGUCUGCCCUCUGGAGCCAUCAGUACUGCUUGGCCACAGAUAUUUUCAUGCAGCUGCCCGUUGUUGGGACUGAGAUGGAGACUCCCCAGCUGGGACCCUGCAUGGAUGUGUCUGGAUUUAAUGGACUGUUUUCUAAUUUGUGAUUCCUUCAUAAAGAACCCCCCUUUCAGGAUAAUUAUAGAGUCCUGUAUUAAUCUAUUAAUUGGGCCUGAUUUCUAUGCCUCAUGUUUCCUCAGCUUGCUGCCCCAGCAGCAAAAGCAGGAUGAGGCUGACCGGGACAUCUGAGCUGGGGAACCAGGAGGGUUCAGUGAAUUGAGUCAAAGGCCCAGGAGG
ensembl:lncRNA